rnacentral:rRNA from 1 species
AUGGCGCCCCCGCCGCCGGCAACGCUCGCCGCCGUCCUCCUCCUCGUCUCCGUCUCCGUCUCCGUCGCCUCCCACCCACUAGCCUCGGGACUGAAGUAUUCCCCGGCGGCCUCGUCUCCGUUCGACGCGGCGCUGGCGGCGCUGCAGGGCCGGAUCGGCUACGCGUUCGGGUCCCCGGACCUGCUCCGCCGGGCGAUGACGCACGCCUCCUACUCGCGCGAGAACGGCCGGGCUUUGGCCGUGCUGGGCCUGGCCGCGGCGGAGUCGGCCGCCGCGCUGCGCGCGCUCGCAGCCGACCGCGACGCGCCGGCCUCCGCCGUCUCCCGCGCCGCGCGCGACGCCGCGGGGGAGGCCGCCUGCGCCGCGGCGGGGGCCCGCGCGGGGAUCCCGGCCGUCGUGCGCGUCGCCGGGUCCACCAAGGCCUCGGCCCCGCCCGUGGUCUGCGGCGCCCUCCGCGCGCUCCUCGGCGCCGUCGCCGUCGACAACGGCACCGCCGACGCCGCCGCCGAGGUCUUCUGGCGCCUCCACGUCGUCGCCGCCUCCGCCGCCGCCAUGUGA